rnacentral:rRNA from 1 species
UCGAGAAUUUUUCACAAUGGACGAAAGUCUGAUGGAGCGACGCCGCGUGGAGGAUGAAGGUUUUCGGAUUGUAAACUCCUGUCACUGCAGAACAAGGGUAUCGAAUCUAAUAAAUUCGAUAUUUGAUGGUAUGCGGAGAGGAAGGGACGGCUAACUCUGUGCCAGCAGCCGCGGUAAGACAGAGGUCCCGAGCGUUGUUCGGAUUCAUUGGGCGUAAAGGGUGUGUAGGAGGUCGGGUAAGUCAGGUGUGAAAUCUCACUGCUUAACGGUGAAACUGCGCUUGAUACUGCUCGGCUAGAGGAUCGGAGGGGGUAACGGAAUUCAUGGUGUAGCAGUGAAAUGCGUAGAUAUCAUGAGGAACACCGGUGGCGAAGGCGGUUACCUGGAAGAUUCCUGACUCUGAAACACGAAAGCCAGGGGAGCAAACGGGAUUAGAUACCCCCGUAGUCC